GUAGGUGAACCUGCGGAAGGAUCAUUAUCACGUAUUAUCCACGUUAUAAACCCUUUCUUUGAACUGUUUUCAAACACUUUUGGUGGUUUUUUUGGGGGUUGGUUUAUUCCAAUUCUCGAUUUUCCACUACUAGUACAUUUUUUAUCAAUUCAUUUUGAUAGAAUUUAAUUAAACACUAUUAACCCAUUUUGAUAAAUUGAACUAAUUUUAUUUUAUACUCCGAUCAAAAGGAGAUAAAAUUCAUUACGAAACAAAGAACAACUCUUAGCAACGGAUAUCUUGGUUCUC
rnacentral:misc_RNA from 1 species